rnacentral:tRNA from 2 species
GUAGGCAUAAUUUAAACAAAAUCUUAGAUUGUGAUUCUAAAAACAGAGGUUAAAACCCCCUUGCCCACC